CCUCUCUUACUUUUUUAUCUAUUUAUUUAACACAUUCAACAUCUCUUUCUUAAACUCCGUGCCGAAAAGUUUUGCCUCAACUAUGAAGAAACGGAGGGAGUAUGGGAGUACUAAUACUCCAUCUGUUUAAGGGUGGGAAUUCGAGUACCCUUGGAUACCCCACCCAAGAAAACCAGGUACCUGAACCCGAAAAUAGUUUAAAGUGCACAUCCGAUACCCGGCCCGGCCUCGAUAUAUUUUUACUAAUUAAUGUGACAAACAUAUUCUAUCUUUUUCACUAUGGAAAAAGGAGGAUGAUGGGGUGUGUGUGGUUGCAUUAUUACGGCAAUUGCAUGAAGUAGUGGUUAGAGAGUUAAACUGUCCAACUCAACCUACUGUUAGCUAGGUCAUUGAUUAAUUUGUCUGGUUAUUUCGAGCCACAUUAACAUACUUUCCAUCAUUUCUCCUAAAUAUGGAGAAAGAGUAAAAAAAAAAAAGGACUCUUUACGUUACACGAUAAAAGGUUUCCAAUUUCACUAAAAUAGUUAAAUUCAUCGGCACUCCUCGGGAUAUCUUUUUCUAGAAGCCUCUCCUCAGCAGCUCUUAUUUCUCGUUCCCUUUACAGAAGAAGCAACUGAAAGUCAAACUCCAAUGCUAUAGCAACCAUCAUAAAACACAAGUAGAAAGCAGAAGCAUUAAUCAAAUUUCAACAGAAUUAGAGCAAGAUUCUUCUAGGGCUCCAAUUUGAGAAAACAUGAUACUCCCUCCGUCCCAUACAAAUAGGCUAUUUGAGGUCGGCACGAGUUUUAAUAUGUAAUUGGUAAAAUAAGAGAAAAUGAAAAAAAUAGCAGUUGAAAUUGUGUAGUGACUGUGGGACUCAUAAAUGAUAAAGGAAAAAAGGGAGAAAAAUGUUUCUAUAAAUGAAUAUGGACUAUUUCUAUGGGACGGUUGAAAAAAGAAAUGUGACAUAUUUCUAUGGGACGGAGGGAGUAUAAUUUUUAAUACAAGAAAAUAAUUAUAAAGGAAAAUUAUAUACUACAUGUUAAAUUUGUUUUAAUGGUUCUGGCUUGACCGGCUAGCCCAAAACUGAGUGGAUUAUGAUUAGAAUUGAAAUAGUCACGUACAGUGCGACAAAAAUUUACCCCCAACUCCAUUAUUCAAGAGCCAAGCAUUUAUUGUUUAUUUAUUUUUAUUCAACCACAAUAGAGACCAAUAUUUUGUCUUUUCCUAUCAUUAUGUUCUGAAUGAAAUCAUACAUCGAGCCAAAAAUUUUCGGGAAUAGUUAUCUUCGCUAUCUUUUAAGAACUACUCUUAUUUAAAGUGUUAUUAGUGUUAUUUGAUUUGUUGCCUACUUUAGAGUGUUCUACGAUUUGAUAUUAUUUAUUGUUUGAUUUGUUUGCUAUUUUACUAAUUAAUUAUUUAUGUUUAUUUAAUUGCCAUGAGGGAUGAUUGUAAUGAUUUAUAAUAUCAAAGAAGAAUUAUUUAAAUCUCAAUUCUCUAACGCAGGUGGCAUUUCUUUUCUCUAAUACAUUUUCACGAAAAAUAGUGUCAUAUUUUCAUUUUUCACUUGUUUAUCAAAACUAAUCCCAUUUGAUAAUGUGGUAUCAUAACAUUUUUCAUCUUUUUUUUCUUUCUUUUCCAUUUGUUUUAUCAACUUUUCUUUCUUUUUCAUUUUUUCAUGGAUAGAGGAAUAUUAUUUUGUAUAAAAUAAAUUUUCAUUCAAAUAAUAUGUCACCCUAAACAAAUUAAAUGAACGUGCAUGGAAAUUUUCAGUUAUUAUUAUUAUUAGUACAAUUGUCGCUUUGAUCCAACGCAGUCUUCGUUUAACUAAUAGACGACCCCAAAGUCUUCAUCUCUAUCAAUAUAGUUAACCGACCAAUGAAUCACCCUUCACACUACUUUCAACCAGUUGGAAUCCACACAAGAAUAAAAUUUAUAUACUAUUAAUUAAGGAUUUACUUUUCAAACGAGUAAAAUAAGAGAUUUUGACAAAAACAAAUUCUUGAUUCUCAAAUUUUAACAUAAAAUUACUAAAGUAGAACUCUUAAUUAAUUAUAAAAUUUCAAAAUUGUUGGCUCCCUAACCACCCUGCUUCUUCAACUUGCAUAUAUAAUAUAAGCAUGGUUGCUCGUAAUAACUUCAGCUUGCAUAUAUAUACAUUAGAUUUUCUAUAAAUCCAAAAAAAUGGUUCAAAGAAGAAUUGAAAUUAUGGCCCUUUUAUUAUUGAUGGCUCUUCUAAUUUCCUCGCAAGUUGCAGACGCUCGGCACCUCAAUCGAGUUUCAUCAAAUAAAGAAGGUGAGAAGAUGAUGAGAAGCUAUGCACGUUUUCGGUGCCCCCAUGGAUGUUGUAAUACUAUUGGUGCUGUUGCGGAUGCUGAGGCCGGUGCUGGUGCUGGUGCUCCUCGUACAGCCGUAGCAGCCGGGCCUCCCCCAUAUUGUCGCUGCUGCCUGUAGCCCAACAAUAGCCCUAGUAUAUUAGCUUAAGUUUUUUUUUUAAUAAGGAAAGUAAAGUUUGUUAAAAUUCUUAAUAUCUUGUCCCACAUCGACUUGGUAACGAUCCUAGCUCACCUAUAAAAGUAUGGAUAACCCUCCCCUUAUAAGGCCUUAUAAGGGGUGAGUGAUUCAUUUCUAAUAAAGUUCAUGGCUUACCUGUAAAUUGAAUAUGUUGGACUAAUUGACCGAUAUUUUUCUUGUUAAA